GUGGACAUCAAAGGUACGCUGCAAGAUGACCUGCUCUACGGGUACAGUCCCAACCAGGCGCCUGAUGCUGACACAGCAAUCACCUUCAGUGGCACUGUGGAACAGAUCACCGACCUGGACGAAAAGAAGGAGCUUCUUGUAGCCACUUUAGUCAUCGAAUUCACCUGGCAGGACAGCCGGCUGACGUGGUGGCCAGAGUACUACGGGAACAUCCAGACCCUCAUCGUGCGGGAUAACAGCAUCUGGACACCUACAUUUACUCUGAAGAGGAA